rnacentral:lncRNA from 1 species
GAAACUGAGAAUUGCACCGAAACAGCACUAGUUAUCGAGGGAACCAUGUGUGGUAUGGGGUACUGAAAUCCAACUUCUUCUUUUGGUGUUUUUGGAACAGCAAAUGCUGUUCUGCCUCUGUCUUUAACCAUAUCAGAACAACUAAUAAACAGUAACGACUAGCAUUUUCUAAUGAAAGCCACAUUGCAAUAACAAAAGAACUAGAGGGUAGUUCAUAUAUUUGUUCAUUUCAUUAUCCAACGGUUCCUUUCCUUAUGUGGUGGGCCAUCGUUUAACACUCAAUCAUCUUUGAUCUUCUCUUCACUGUUCUCCUGAUUGACACGACAAUGCUCCUUUCAGUCCACUCUGUGUCGUUAAGCUGUGCAGUUAGCCCGUUGUGAGAGAGGCUGAGUGAGGUCCUUUGGAUGAACACGCACUUUUUCUGAGAAAAUGAUGUUUAGCGCUGACAUCCGAGAGCCUGUGACCAUACCAACAAUGGAAUGUGUGUGACAAAAGCCACUGGGGGAGUGCAACGGAGAAAUGGGCCAGGGUGUGUAAAACUAUCUGCAUCUAUCCCCGGUCGGAAAAAGAGUCUGGCCAUCGGUAGCCUGAGCCAGCUGGUGUCGCUGCAGUCUCCUGCCAUGCUCCUGGUUGUACAGGAGAAGCGGGGCCUGGAUGGCCAGUAUGGCUUUGCAUGUCGCUGCAGAGAGGGCAGCGGACUUGUGGUGGUCAAGGUUGACAACACUCACCUCUGUGUAGAGGACAGGUAAAAAAACAUUUUUUUAAAACGCAUGCAAAAUAACCUCAAGCCAUGUAAUUUAUCCGGACAUAAUGACAAACCUUUUUCAGUGUUAACAGAGGC